AACGGCCAUACCAUGCUGAAUAUACCGGUUCUCGUUAGAUCACCGAAGUCAAGCAUCAUUGGGCGCGGUCAGUACUUGGGUCGGUGACCACCUGGGAACACCGCGUGCCGCUG
rnacentral:rRNA from 1 species